GCUGGGCAUGGUGGCAUGCACCUGUAAUCCCAGCAGCUCAGGAGGCUGAGGUAGGAGGAUCACAAGUUCAAAGCCAGCCUCAGCAACUUAGUGAGGCCUAAGCAACUCAGUGAGACCCUGUCUCUU
rnacentral:sRNA from 1 species